rnacentral:rRNA from 1 species
GUGUCAGCCGCCGCGGUAAUACGUAGGGGGCGAGCGUUGUCCGGAUUUACUGGGUGUAAAGGGUGCUCAGGUGGUUUUGUAAGUCAGAGGUGAAAUCUCAGAGCUUAACUCUGGAACUGCCUUUGAUACUAUAGAACUUGUGUACGGAAGAGGUUGAUGGAAUUCCUGGUGUAGCAGUGAAAUGCGUAGAUAUCAGGAAGAACACCAGUGGCGAAGGCGGUCAACUGGUCCGGUACAGACACUAAAGCACGAAAGCGUGGGUAGCAAACAGGAUUAGAAACCCUAGUAGUCC